ensembl:lncRNA
CUUCAUUUGCUUUCAUUUAGGCCUGCAGCUCAGUUUUCUCUGCUCUUGCUUAUUUGUUGGGCGGUUUGACUGUACAGAAGUUUACCGUCUAGUGGAAAGAAUGAGGAAUGCAGACAAUUUUUUGAAACAGCCAUGAUUUUAAUUCCAUAUGUCUACCAUGGAGACACUGAUUAAGAAAAAAAGUAUAUUCUCAGAUUUUCCGUCUAGUUUUUAAAGGUGACCUGAGCUGUUCGCGUAAUUCCCCCAAAAUUCUUCUAUGUGUUAUGAAGAUGAAUGAAUGCAUCACUGAGCUAUUAGGCUGCAAGGCAUGUGAACAAAGGCAACACUAUUGACCUGUCCGAAAAACGCUUCAAUUGUGGAGCAUAAAUAAGCAGGUGGUAACAAGAGCAUCCAAGUGGAUCUGGGCCAGGCCUGGGGACCUGCUGAGCUCACCCAGCUCAGAGGCAGUAACGAGAAGGCAACACAAAGCAGGAGACAUCACCAUUACUGUACAUUCCAAGGGCAGGAAGGAGGAGAGUGCUCCCCCUGUGGAAGCAAGGGGGUAAGAAUUCUUGAAGAAAAAGUAGAAAGCUGAGAUUGGAAUCUCAGGAAGAUCAAGUGCCAGUCCCAUGUCCAAGAGGUCAGGGAAGGACCAAGGUCAGUGUGGUAAGGCCAAGAGUUUACCUUGUGGUUUGGCUUUAUCAGUAUGUGGGUGUGUGCAAGUGCCAGCAGCUGAGCCGAUAGCUGCCAAGAGAGGUGGAAAGCAAGCAUUAGAGAAAAUGUGGUGGCAGAAGAAGACACCACAGGAGUUGUUGAGGCGUGGGUUAGGAAGUAGACAACAAAACUGGCACCAGGAAUGACAGCGAGGCUGGCACAGGUGAGUGGCAGCUGCUGGGCAGGACAGACCAAACUGGCCGGUAUCCUAGCUGAGGCCAUGUUGGGCUUUAACUCAGGGAGGUUGAAGCAAUUAUGAGAAAGCAGAAGAGAUGCAGUAGGGAAUCCAAGGAAGUGGGUGGUCAGGACGAACAGAGACUGGGCAGGCCAGAUGGCUGUCACUGCGUCCAACUUUCCAGCUGCAAUCAAAUAACCAAAUUACAAAGUAAAUCAAUUUAAGCCAAGGUCAAUUUUAAUUCUAUUCUUUGCUGGUGGUACAGGAUCAUUAACUGUAUUGAUAAUGCCCAUGUUAAUCCCAUUCUGAAAUGGGGACAAUUGUAUUCCUUAUUACUGGUCUGGAUAUUUUCAACAAAAAGGAAAGGAUGAAGUCAAAACUAUGCAACUAUUUUUUUUAAAAAACUGAUGCACAUUAAUAAGGUCUAGGGAAUUUUGAGGAAAUUUAACUGACAGUGUUGAGAUUCAUAUAACUUUAUGUUAAGAAUUCAUUUUCCAGGAAUAAUUUAUUUCAGUUAGUCACAUUUUAACCUUCACUAAAGUGUAAAUUUAAUUUAGUAUAAAUAACUACCAUUUGAAUACUAACUUAAUCUUUUUUUAUGCAGAAAAUAAAAACGAUUAUGUAUGUGUGUAUGUAUGUAUCAAGACUAAAAUUUAAACAUUAGUUAAAGUUUUUGACUAAGAACAAACAAUUGACAAAUUCACAAGUUAGAAUUUAUAAUUUCAUUGUGAAGUUGACUAACUUGUUAAUAUAGAUAAGAUUGUCAGCACAUGAAAAAGGCAUGGCUGGGGCCGGCCUGGUGGUGUAGUGGUUAAGUUCUUGCACUUCGCUUUGGCAGCCCAGUGUUCGCAAGUUGAGAUCCCUAUACACUGCUCAUCAAGCCAUGCUGUGAUGGCAUCCCACAUACAAGAUAAAGAAAGAUUAGCACAGCUAUUAGCUCAGGGACAACCUUCCUCAGUCAAAAAGAGGAAGAUUAGCCACAGAUGUUGGCUCAGGACCAAUCUCCCUCACCAAAAAAAAUAAUAAUAAUAAAAUAAAAUGAGGUAAUCCUGUCUCAAUUGUAGCUAUAGAUUGCAAAUCUUGUGUCAGUUCGAAUUUCUGCCAGCAGAUACUAAUGACUUUACUGAAAGCAGAAGAUAUUUAGAAUGGAAAUGGAAGUAUAAACACAGCCCUAGUUGAUGAAUACACUCAUUGUACUUCCUUAUUAUGACACUAGCAAAUAUUCAGUCUUUAAGUUGAUCCGUGAUAUAUUCAACAGUACCACGGGAGCAUAAUUUUUUAAAUGACUUGUCCAAAGUUUCUUAUCAAUCCAUCCUAGCAACAGAGCCGAGUGUUAGAGUUAUGGCUGCCUGAGUUACAACAGCUGCCCUGGGAAUCUUGUCCAAACAGCAAGUUAACUGCUAUUCACAGAAAUAUCUGGUCUUUCCCGCCCCUAAAGAUACACAAAAGAUUUUUGUCAUUCUUGGCAUUGGUCAAUAGAAGUAGCAAGACAUGCCAGCAGAACUCUAAAGGCAGAAUGUCCUUCCACCUGUUUUAUGCUGUAAGACAGACUUCCAAGUGCGAGGCGGUGUGGAGGGCUGUUUCCUUGAAUGGCAGCUGAAUGCACCAGCAGGAUCCUUGGCAGCGAUGCCCAGGCACUGAAGCUGGGCAUUCAGGAGAGCUAAAUGAAGAAAAGAAACUUGAGCAAACUACUUCCUGGAACACCGAGAACCUGAUUGGGAAAUUAAGAAGUACCAGAUUCUCUCUAUUCUCCCACCAGCCAAGGUCAGAUUUCCAAGCUCCUAUUUAUUCUAAACUUUCCCCAAAAAGUGCUAUGGCAAUUUGUGAAGGUAAUAAAAAUUCUCUUAUUUUCUUUUAGAAAAUAGUGUUACUGCUUUAUUACGCUCUUGCUUGAGAAGUUUUUCCCCAUCCUAAAGUAACAACUUCAUACCACAAGUCAAGCAGAAGCAUGGUGGAAGGGUUCAUCUGGGGAGACAAGUGGCUUGUUCUACAUCUCAAAGGGACACCUCCUUAGGUGAGAGGUAUUGGAUGCACCAGCUUGCCUGUUGACCAUUCUCUUGUGAUGAAAGGUCUGGCCUUUGUCUGCCUGGCAGACAAAAAUCUUUCACUCAGCAGGACACCUAGACAGGCAGGAAUAACUGCCACAGUCAAGCACUCAGUACCAGUAAGGAGGCUGAACUGAUAGCAAAAGACCUGGAAGUCACAGGCUUUUGUUAACUCUGCACUGUCUGCCUGGUGCCCACUGGAACGCUAGUUUCCAGCCUAGAAACCUAGCAGCUUGGGAAAGCGACACCCUCCGUCUGAAGCGCAGGAGAGGAUUCCUCCAGCUAUUUUCAACUUUUCAGGAAGCUUAAAAGUAAUUGUUUGUCUCCAGCGAUAAGGGAGACCACCCCCGACCCCCUGAAUCCAGAAUACAGAGUUUCUUUGGCCUGUGGUAUCGGGGUGACCCAGAGGCCCCUAACCCAAGACCAGCAGCAGGGCUCCCAGUGAGCUUGGGGGAAAAGAGGAGGCCCCACAGCAACGCCACUUGGAGCCUGUGGACAGCCCCCAACUCCUGACCGGCCCUGCUUUGCUCUCGAAGAACAUCUUUUUCUGGAGAUCUCGGCUGCGCCAGAGGCCUGACUUUGGUGUGGAGCUGUGGCAAGAUGUGUGACCUCAACUGAAGACAGGGCUCCCUCCUUCCCAGACCUCCCCAGGCUCUUUUCUAGUCAUGGCCUGAGCUGGGGCAUGAUGGAGACUUCAGCCUACUUCCUUCCCUCUACCUCUGUGCCAAGCCUCCAGGGCCAGAUCAAAGAGCUUCCUCUCUGAGUCUCAGGUUCCCCAUCCACGAAAUGGAGAGCUGACGACCUACCUCCCAGGGGUUUGUGCGGAUGGCCUAAGCUAAUGUAAUAAAGCGACUGCCCAUGAUACCUCCCCCCCCAAAAAAUGUAAUUGUUUGUUUACUCAAAAUAAAGCCACAAGGAUGACUUUUAGUUGGGGGAAAAAAGGACUCCUUGAUUUCCUUUUGGGAAGAUAAAUUCGUUAUUAUUUAACAAAUGCGUUUGCUUGUAAACAAAAUCUUUCAAAACAGAGAUUCUGUGAGGGAAAUCAUAUUAAAAGGAGUUUUCAGUGGGGAAGAGAUUAGGAAACCCUGUCCUAGAGACAACUGUUUAAGGGAUGAAAUUUCUCAAUUUUUCAUUUUCAUAAAAAAUUUACAAACAGUGGCUAACUUCCCAUUAUACUCUGCAUCUCAUUCAUUCGAGGUACUGAAUAUUUAAGAAGAUUAUUAGAGGAGUGGCCGUGGGAAAUUCCAGAGCUGCUGGCGCCUGCAGAGACUUCCUCUACUGAGUGUCUCAGCUCCCAGACACUGCCCCCAGAGCUGCAAGGAAAUGGUGGAAAUUCAGUAGAAGGAGGUCUUGCUUUAGCCAGCGAGGCUGCUCAUAGAGUUGUGGUUUCUUCAAAGAGGUUCUACCAAAGUAGUGGCAGAGCAUGCAUACCGACGUGCACGGAUUCAAGAAAUGUAGGCAAUAACAUUUAUUAUUAGCCAUCCUCUCGUUUCAUCAGCAAGAAAAAAAUCAGUUACUUUCAGUUGGCACAAAAGUACAUUUAUUCACUAACACAUCAGGCAUUGCUCGUGCACCUAUCAUAUGCCAGGCUCUGUGCUAAGUGCUGGGGAUAUAAAGAUGAAUAAGACUCAUGGUGCCAUAAUCAGAAUUGUCAAAAACUGACCUUGCUGGCUCAUUCUGGGUUGCCUGGACAAGAAGCCAGUGGGGACCUGAGCUUCUGACCUCCCAGCAGGAUGAGUUGCACCCAAACUUCUCAUGGGACCAAUUUCUCCCUUUCCUAGAACCCAGGUCCUUGGGUGCUGAACGGUUGGUUUUGCCAGGUAACUCCUAUAAAGAUCUAGGUCAGAUGAUACCCAAGAAGUCUGAUUAUCUACCCACCAACUAGGUCAUUCUCACUCUUGCCCUAUAAGAAGGAGAGCAGCGAGUGGCAAGUUCCUUUCCCUGGAAUGUCCACCCAUGGUGCGUCCAGCAGAGAAACUUAGCCCAUCUUGUCUCUUCUCUUGUUCAUUCAUGCUUUGUAAAUUUCCCCAAUAAAGUCUAUGAAAUUUCAUGGAAUUCAUCACAAGUCCUUUUGCAUGACAAGUGAUGCACAGGAAAGGAUCCAUCUUAUAUAACAAUGCUUCCAACCUUUUGGGAUACCACUAGGCACAAUGCUGAAAUCACCUAUUCCAGAAGAAAUCUUGUCCUUCGACAAAAAGAUUUAAUUUUCAGUUCUUGUGGGAUCUGGCCAAGGGAGGAAGUGAGAAACACUUCAAGGAGUCUGCAGUCCUUCCCAUCUGAGGAAGGCAGAGGUUGCGCAGUGGAACUCCAGGGUUCCUUCUCCAACAGCUCAGCUCCUCUGUGACCGUGCCCAUCUUAAACCUCCCUCAACAACUCAUCGCACAGAUGUUUGUUUCAUUUGUUCAUUCAUUUAGUCACUUAAUCAGGGCUGUUUUAAGACUUAAGAGAGAUAAUGGACAGGAAAGUGCCUUAAAAAAAUAUAAAGCUCUCCCCAAGUAACAUAUUUUGAAUAUCAAAGGUAUAUUUACUAUAGAUUAUCAGUUCUUCUCUUUUUUUGGUCUUAAGCUGGGAACUUAUUCUCCGGAUAAAGGCUUAUUAUGAAGCCCAAGAUAUAAAAUACAUGUACGUGGACCUACUCCAAUUGAAGUGAGGUGGAGGUUGGAACUCCAACGCUUCCAAGGAGCACAUUUGAAAAGAGAUGCCAAAGGGGCAAAAGAGUUUAGAAGGUUCUUUAAAAAAUAAAUCCCAACAGUUCUGUAGCUUGACUGUGACGGUGAAUACAUAAACCUGCAUAUGUUAUAAAUUUGCAUAGAGCAAAACACGCUCAUACACAAACGAAUAUGUGUAAAACUGGUGAAAUCUGAAUAAGAUUGGUGGAUUGUAUCAAUGUCAGUUUUCUGGUUGUGAUAUUGUACUAUAGCUUUGCAAGAUGUUACAAAUGGGUAAAACUGAGUGAAAGGUACAC